UACGGGGGGGGCAAGCGUUGUUCGGAAUUACUGGGCGUAAAGGGCGCGUAGGCGGUCUUGUAAGUCCUGUGUGAAAUCCCUCGGCUCAACUGAGGAACUGCACGGGAAACUGCUUGGCUUGAGUUCGGGAGAGGGAAGCGGAAUUCCGGGUGUAGCGGUGAAAUGCGUAGAUAUCCGGAGGAACACCGGUGGCGAAGGCGGCUUCCUGGACCGACACUGACGCUGAGGCGCGAAAGCUAGGGGAGCAAACGGG
rnacentral:rRNA from 1 species